UGGCUUAGAUGGUAAAGCAUCUGUCUACAGUGCAGGAGACCCGGGUUCGAUCCCUGG
rnacentral:tRNA from 1 species